rnacentral:misc_RNA from 1 species
CAUCCCGAAGAAUGUUGCGAAGAUUUAAGAUUCUAGGUCCACAGAAUGCUAUGAAGUUACAUCCCCAUUGCACGAGACUCCCCAUUUUCUGAGGGUUGGGAGAGAAUUGUUUAUGUUUCUACCACUCUAUGUGAAUUUCUAGUUGCAAAGUGACUUCCUAUUCUUUCCGACAUCAUAUAUAUUAAUACAAAAACAAAAGGGUGAAGUAUAAAGCUUUUGUAGAAUAUCCAAUGGUAUAAAUCAUUUUGAUUUUCCAGUGAAAGAAAUGCAGCCUCAAUGGUAUGCAAAGAAAAGCCUGCUUUCUGAAUAUAUUUAAAAUAUAAAAUAACACAUCAUAUGCAUAAUUCAUUGGCAAACAAGUAUUAAUUUUCCAAGACAUCAG